rnacentral:rRNA from 1 species
UACGGAAGGCAGCAGUGGGGAAUAUUGCACAAUGGGCGCAAGCCUGAUGCAGCCAUGCCGCGUGUAUGAAAAAGGCCUUCGGGUUGUAAAGUACUUUCAGUCGUGAGGAAGGUGUUAAGGUUAAUAACCUUAGCAAUUGACGUUAGCGACAGAAGAAGCACCGGCUAACUCCGUGCCAGCAGCCGCGGUAAUACGGAGGGUGCGAGCGUUAAUCGGAAUUACUGGGCGUAAAGGGCACGCAGGCGGUUAAUUAAGUUGGAUGUGAAAUCCCCGGGCUUAACCUGGGAAUGGCAUUCAAGACUGGUUAGCUAGAGUCUGUAGAGGGGGUAGAAUUCCAUGUGUAGCGGUGAAAUGCGUAGAGAUGUGGAGGAAUACCGGUGGCGAAGGCGGCCCCUGGACAAAGACUGACGCUCAUGUGCGAAAGCUGGGGAGCAAACAGGGAUUAGAUACC